GCCCGCGUAGCCCAAUUGGCAGGAGGCACCGCGUUCAGGGCGCGGACAGUGCGCGUUCGAAUCGCGCCGCGGGUAC
rnacentral:tRNA from 1 species